CCUACGGGAGGCAGCAGUGGGGAAUAUUGCACAAUGGGCGCAAGCCUGAUGCAGCCAUGCCGCGUGUAUGAAGAAGGCCUUCGGGUUGUAAAGUACUUUCAGCGGGGAGGAAGGCGAUGAGGUUAAUAACCUCGUCGAUUGACGUUACCCGCAGAAGAAGCACCGGCUAACUCCGUGCCAGCAGCCGCGGUAAU
rnacentral:rRNA from 1 species